CUGGGUGUGGCGCAGCUUGGUAGCGCGCUUGAAUGGGGUUCAAGAGGUCGUAAGUUCAAAUCUUAUCACCCAGACCA
rnacentral:tRNA from 2 species